rnacentral:tRNA from 1 species
GAGGGUGUAGCUCAAGCGGUAGAGGGCUUGUUUAGCAGGCAUGAGGUCCUGGGUUCAACUCUCGGCACCUCCU